rnacentral:rRNA from 1 species
GAUGAACGCUGGCGGCGUGCCUAAUACAUGCAAGUCGAGCGAACAGACGAGGAGCUUGCUCCUCUGACGUUAGCGGCGGACGGGUGAGUAACACGUGGAUAACCUACCUAUAAGACUGGGAUAACUUCGGGAAACCGGAGCUAAUACCGGAUAAUAUAUUGAACCGCAUGGUUCAAUAGUGAAAGACGGUUUUGCGGUCACUUAUAGAUGGAUCCGCGCCGCAUUAGCUAGUUGGUAAGGUAAAGGCUUACCAAGGCAACGAUGCGUAGCCGACCUGAGAGGGUGAUCGGCCACCCUGGAACUGAGACACGGUCCAGACUCCUACGGGAGGCAGCAGUCGCGAAUCUUCCGCAAUGGGCGAAAGCCUGACGGAGCAACGCCGCGUGAGUGAUGAAGGUCUUCGGAUCGUAAAACUCUGUUAUUAGUGAAGAACAAAUGUGUAAGUAACUAUGCACGUCUUGACGGUACCUAAUCAGAAAGCCACGGCUAACUACGUG